rnacentral:other from 1 species
UACGAACUGCUGUUUUGGUGACUGCCAAAAGAGUUUUUUGACUAUGCUCUAAAUUUAAGGGAUUUAAUUUAGAUAUUGUAGAAGUAAACCAAGCUUAGACUUGGAAACAGAAUCGAUAAUCAAUUAAUGCCCACCUGGUUUUCCAGGUCAUAAACUGAGGUAAAACGAUACGGCAGUUCUUAA